rnacentral:rRNA from 1 species
GACGAACGCUGGCGGCGUGCUUAACACAUGCCAGUCGAACGCUGAAGCUUGGUGCUUGCACUGGGUGGAUGAGUGGCGAACGGGUGAGUAAUAAGUGAGUAACCUGCCCUUGACUCUGGGAUAAGCCUGGGAAACUGGGUCUAAUACUGGAUACGACAUGUCACCGCAUGGUGGUGUGUGGAAAGGGUUUUACUGGUUUUGGAUGGGCUCACGGCCUAUCAGCUUGUUGGUGGGGUAAUGGCUCACCAAGGCGACGACGGGUAGCCGGCCUGAGAGGGUGACCGGCCACACUGGGACUGAGACACGGCCCAGACUCCUACGGGAGGCAGCAGUGGGGAAUAUUGCACAAUGGGCGGAAGCCUGAUGCAGCGACGCCGCGUGAGGGAUGACGGCCUUCGGGUUGUAAACCUCUUUCAGCACGGAAGAGGCGAAAGUGACGGUACGUGCAGAAGAAGCGCCGGCUAACUACGUG